rnacentral:rRNA from 1 species
AUGCACGCUGGCGGCGUGCCUAAUACAUGCAAGUCGCGCGAACAGACGAGGAGCUUGCUCCUCUGACGUUAGCGGCGGACGGGUGAGUAACACGUGGAUAACCUACCUAUAAGACUGGGAUAACUUCGGGAAACCGGAGCUAAUACCGGAUAAUAUAUUGAACCGCAUGGUUCAAUAGUGAAAGACGGUUUUGCUGUCACUUAUAGAUGGAUCCGCGCCGCAUUAGCUAGUUGGUAAGGUAACGGCUUACCAAGGCAACGAUGCGUAGCCGACCUGAGAGGGUGAUCGGCCACACUGGAACUGAGACACGGUCCAGACUCCUACGGGAGGCAGCAGUAGGGAAUCUUCCGCAAUGGGCGAAAGCCUGACGGAGCAACGCCGCGUGAGUGAUGAAGGUCUUCGGAUCGUAAAACUCUGUUAUUAGGGAAUAACAAAUGUGUAAGUAACUAUGCACGUCUUGACGGUACCUAAUCAGAAAGCCACGGCUAACUACGUG